UAUUCAGGAACCUCUCUUGAAGAAUUUACUGAAGAAUGAAUUUCAUCCAAAUAAAGACUAACUGGGGAGAAAUUCAGAAAACUGUGUGAUGGAGAGCAUUAAAUAUAUUAAGUUGUAGAUAUUUAAAAUAAAGGUGGUCAUAAGAAUGGAAAACCUGUAUGCAAAUUUUGUUUCCU